rnacentral:sRNA from 15 species
GUCAUAGACCCCACGGCUGAAGCCGGGGGCUUGCCUUCCGGGUUUCAGCCGUAGGCCUUAAGGCCUGGCUAUGACCAGCCUCGGGGCCGGACCUGAAGGACAAGGGGAUGAAGGCACUACGUUGGCAGCGGGUCCAGGACCCACUCCGGGAUGCUCUUCCAGUUCCGGACCCUGGA